ensembl:lncRNA
AGGCAACCUUCUCGUCCCGGCUGCUGUGGCCCCUCCUUUGGAAAGGCAUAACCUCUCCUAAUCCCCCUCCCCCGGUUUCCGUGGAGACGGCUCAGACGAGCAGGUGACGCAUUGACAGGGAGCAGAUGGUUGCCCGUGGAGGCACCUUGUUAUCUGUCCUUUGUCAGUAAGGCCAUCCUGUGGGACCGGGCAUUCAACCAGUGGACAGACCAUACUGCCCCUGAUGGACGUCCCUCCCUGUGUCCUCGUUUCCUGGCCCACAUGAAGGCCUGUCCUGCAGACCUUAGACCCCGAUGUUUCCUAUCCAGCAAGCCCAGGCCACGACCUCCUCAGCAGGGACAGACUGAAUGUCCAGGAGCAGACCGCAGUACCCCAACACCACCAGGAGGAGGUGCUCCGCUGUUGUUGUUCCCUGUGUUCCAACACCAGUUUCACCCUGUCCCAGCAGAGCCUCCCCUGAGCUCCGUGUCACUGAAUCUAGGCCACCAAGUAUCAAUCCCCACCCUGAUUCGGCCCCACCUCAGAUCCAUCAUCCGGAGGGGGGGACGGAUACCAAGGAUGAGGCACUAGAGAGGGGGGAAGUCCUCUUGGCUACUUCAGUGGCCUUCUGCCCUCCAGGGCCAGACUUAGACCUCAGUUGUGGGCCUGAAGACACUGGUCCCUUGGCCUCUCCGGUACCUAGUUUCUCAGAGGGUUCGCUCUCAGACUUCACUCGUCCCCCAUCCAGCCAGUUCAGCCGGAGCACUGACCUGAGUAGUGGACGAAGCAGUGUCCUAUCUGAGGAUCUGAGUGGCCUGAACUCUCCACUCUCCCGGCUCUGCUCCCCUUCCAUGUCCCUGUCUGCUCUGGCCUCCUGCACCCCACAGGACUCCCCAACACCCCAACCCCUAAACCCAACCCUUCACCCACCUCUCCACCGCCCUGUCUCGGACCAGCUACAGCGCCGCUCAUCUGACUGGACUACCCCGGAGCCCCAGUCGGGCUAUGUCCUUUCACGUUACCCAGAACCAUCCCUGGACCCCAACCGGGACUGUGCUGCCCCAUCUUUUCCCUCAGAGACCUGGCGGUCCAGUCCUAGCCCGCAAUGCGGAAUAACCCUCAGGCCUGGGUCAGGCCUGGUCUCAGGUUCCGCCUCACCUUCUACGACGACUGAGAGGAAAGAAUGGACGUCAAGCCGCUGGUCUGUCCUUCCCCCGAUCUCUCCAGCAAGAGAUGGCAGUGACACAGUGGCUUCUCAAUCGCGCUGUUCUCAGGUCAGCUCAAGCCAGUCCCGUGUGUUUGAUGAACUGGAGGCCGUCGCCCCCCGGACAUCCUUCUGUCCGUCCCUGGACCACCCUCUCAGCUCAGCAGACUGCAGCCCACCUGGCACAGAUAUGUCCCCUGGCCUUGCUGCUCUGACAGUAGGUUGUGACAUGGGGGAGCUGGGCUCCCUUUCCCGGGUGCAGCUCCUGCUCUUGGACCGACCGGAACCCAUGAACCCGCGCUUUCUCUCUGGUCAACACCAGCACUCACUGGGAAAGGAUGUAACAAGAGGCCACACUGCCAAGCUCAGCGCCAGCAGACCCGGACCAUGUGCCACAGGCGUCCUACAGCCCGUCACAGCUGCCAGCUGUGGAAACGGCAGUGCUUCGGAGAGGUGUGCUGCCACAGGCGAAGUCCGUGGAGAGCGUGAACUCACGAUGCCAGGAGACCCGGAGGAUGGCCCCAGGUCUCCGUGGUCGUGGACCGGUGACUCCGGUCCAUCCGACAUCAUCUCCAGGUCUCCCUGCUCACCCUGCCAGUACAGCUGUGAUGGGGAGGAGUCGGACAGCCAAACAAGCCAGGCCUCUACUACCCUGAAUGACAGAAACUCAGGCCCCGGCCCUGACCAGGAAGCCUCAGAGAGGGAGGAGCCUGGUUGCACUCUCCGAGGGGAGCGUGUCGGAACUUCCGCGGGUGGGAGGAGGAGACCUGGGAGGACGGAGCGCAGAAUGAGGCAGAAGGAGCGAAUAAGGGAAGAGAGAAAAACAAAGGUGCUGAACAUCUACUCCAAGCUCCAGGACAGAGGUGCCCUCCAGCCGAGCCACAACCGGGGGCGCUCCAAGUUCGAGGACUUCAACUUCUUGGCAAAGUAUUGCAUUUUCAGCCAGGAGAAACUGACAGAAUACAAAAGGGCUUUUGAAGCGGUGGACAGUGACAGAGAUGGUUACAUCUCCUGCUUGCAAGUGCUGUUGGGACUGAAGAAGAUCAUCCCUUCAGAACUGCUGUCUGAUGAGGAAGAGAUCUACGUCUACAGAAUACUCGAAAUGGUGGAUUUCAGGGUGACAGAUGGACUUACAGACCUGCGGCUCUUUGCGGUGAUUGCCAGUCUGGCACAGAAAAUAGCCACCAUGGAUGUGUUCAUGCGUUCCCUUAUAAGCAAAAUGGACUUUCGUUCUUUGGAGUUGAAGCUUUACAAGGCAAAGCAGCUGUUCCUGUUCCUGCUGGAGGGGCAGUCAGGAGGCUCUGUAGCCCAGCAAGGCUGUAUCAGCGCAGAGCAGCUCCUGGUGGAGCUGAAGGCCGGGGGCGUCCGACCGGAACAAGAGGAAGCCAUCAAACAGGAGCUCCAACACGUCGGCUCCCUGGACCUGCUGGACUUCCUGGCGUACCUGCCCCUCUUCCUCCUCAUCCACAACUCGGUCAUCACCAACCCACUGGAUGACUCCAGCAACCUGUGAUGUCAUCCUUUACCCAGGGUGGACUCAGUUCUAUUGUAUCCUGCCUCUACACGGUGGUUACAAAGUUACACGCUCACUUGCUGAAGAUCGUCCUCCUUUUUUUUUCCCCCUUCUUAUUUUAGUAGUUGGGAACACUUUUAAUGUUGUUGGGUUUUUUUUGUGUGUCGUCUGAGGCGUUUCUUCAAAAGGGCUUUGGAAACUCCCUUUGGAAUAUGUAUUUAGAAAUGACCUACCCCUGUGCUUUGGGCUACAGAAGGUGGACAUUUAGGCUUGAGAAUGGUGCUGUCUAUGGUACUGAAAUAUGUGGGGCUUUUCAAUUGCAGUUCAUGUUGAACAAGUAAUUCACUGAAUACGGCCAUAACAGGUUUAGACUCUAAUAAGGAUGUGUUGCUAAUUGUCUGCCAAAUGUUAAAAUGCGGCCACAAAUUGAAAAUCAUGCAAAACCUGCUGUUGAUAUGAGCGUCUGAUUUAUGCCAGACCCUUGCACUGUUUAUUCCGACGGGAAUAUGAUGGCUCACAACUUCAGCAUCUUGAUG